rnacentral:misc_RNA from 1 species
GCAUGGGAGGCAUGCCUGGUAUGGGAGGCUUGGGCGGCAUGGGUGGUGCAGAUGAUGAUUUUGAGGAUGACAUUGAAGAUAAAGACGAUGAGAUGGAAGAUGAGAAAACUGAAGAAGCACCACUUACUACGAAAUCUGGAGCUUCGGAGGCUGCUGAUGAAUCUGGACCCCCACCAGCUGCUGCUAAUUAAAUCCGGAAAGUGAGAGUACCUGAUGAGAUCCUUCUUUCUCUAUGCUUCUGUGGUAGUGAAGUAUAUAGGGUCCAUUGACAUGAGUGAAUGCUAGCUUAGUGUUUUAAUGUGUACUUACUGUUGAGUGUAGUAAUACUCAGCGUUAAGUUAUGAUGCCUGUUUGUCUUUUUAUAAUACUUUUCUGUCGGUGGUGGUAUAUUUGGG